CUUGAAGUCGGUUAAAGAUGUUUCUCUCUUCGCGGUACUACGCGUCUCCUUCUAGCGGUCGUGUAAACGUAGCGUUACGUUGGAAUUUCGUCGCGCCCGACUCUCCGAAUGUCGUAUCACAGCUCGCGAUCGUGAUUAUUCUUGCGCGACCGAGUUCGUAUCGCAGUUGACGAGUCUUCGCUACAACAUAUACGCAUUACAUGAUCGAAAUUAUUUGACGAUCCGACAUUUUGAACGAGAAGGAAACUCUCUGCUUUGAGAAGGUCGCCUCACUACAGGAUACGGAGAAUAAUAAGGAUCGUCAGAGCCGACUUUGUCUUCUGUUCUGCAUUCUUUCCGUGUUACGUAAUCAAUCUGUAGUUGCUUCAUGAUGAAGAUAUGCAAAAGGAAAGAAAAAGAAGGAAGAAAGAGAGAAAAUGUUUGUUCGGAUGAAUAAGGAAUAAGUAUAAGAGAAGAAGAAGAUAAUGCGUCUGCUAAAAGGAAAGAACGAAGUUACGGUAACAAUAUGGAUGGCGUCCCAGGGACUCGAGCGUCUAUAUCAAGAGU
rnacentral:misc_RNA from 1 species